rnacentral:rRNA from 1 species
ACUGAACGCUGGCGGCAUGCUUUACACAUGCAGGUCGAACGGUAACAGGGAGCUUGCUCCGCUGACGAGUGGCGAACGGGUGAGUAAUAUAUCGGAACGUACCCAAGAGUGGGGGAUAACGUAGCGAAAGUUACGAUAAUACCGCAUACGAUCUAAGGAUGAAAGCAGGGGAUCUUCGGACCUUGUGCUCCUGGAGCGGCCGAUAUCUGAUUAGCCAGUUGGUGAGGUAAAGGCUCACCAAGGCGACGAUCCGUAGCUGGUCUGAGAGGACGACCAGGCACACUGGAACUGAGACACGGUCCAGACUCCAACGGGAGGCAGCAGUGGGGAAUUUUGGACAAUGGGCGCAAGCCUGAUCCAGAAAUGCCGAGUGAGUGAAGAAGGCCUUCGGGUUGUAAAGCUCUUUUGUCAGGGAAGAAACGGGAGUGGCUAAUAUCCAUUCCUAAUGACGGUACCUGAAGAAUAAGCACCGGCUAACUACGUGCCAGCCGCCGCCGUAA